rnacentral:rRNA from 1 species
AGUGAACGCUGGCGGUAGGCCUAACACAUGCAAGUCGAACGGCAGCACAGUAAGAGCUUGCUCUUACGGGUGGCGAGUGGCGGACGGGUGAGGAAUACAUCGGAAUCUACUUUUUCGUGGGGGAUAACGUAGGGAAACUUACGCUAAUACCGCAUACGACCUACGGGCGAAAGCAGGGGAUCUUCGGACCUUGCGCGAUUGAAUGAGCCGAUGUCGGAUUAGCUAGUUGGCGGGGUAAAGGCCCACCAAGGCGACGAUCCGUAGCUGGUCUGAGAGGAUGAUCGGCCACACUGGAACUGAGACACGGUCCAGACUCCUACGGGAGGCAGCAGUGGGGAAUAUUGGACAAUGGGCGCAAGCCUGAUCCAGCCAUACCGCGUGGGUGAAGAAGGCCUUCGGGUUGUAAAGCCCUUUUGUUGGGAAAGAAAAGCAGCAGGUUAAUACCCCGCUGUUCUGACGGUACCCAAAGAAUAAGCACCGGCUAACUUCGUG